rnacentral:rRNA from 1 species
CAGUAGCCGCGGUAAAACGGAGGGUGCAAGCGUUAAUCGGAAUUACUGGGCGUAAAGCGCACGCAGGCGGUCUGACAAGUCAGAUGUGAAAUCCCCGGGCUUAACCUGGGAACUGCAUUUGAAACUGUCAGGCUGGAGUCGUGUAGAGGGGGGUGGAAUUCCAGGUGUAGCGGUGAAAUGCGUAGAGAUCUGGAGGAAUACCGGUGGCGAAGGCGGCCCCCUGGACAAAGACUGACGCUCAGGUGCGAAAGCGUGGGGAGCAAACAGGAUUAGAUACCCCUGUAGUCCCUGUCUCUUAUAC